rnacentral:rRNA from 1 species
AACGAACACUGGCGGCGUGGUUUAGGCAUGCAAGUCGAACGUGAAAGUCCCUUCGGGGAUGAGUAAAGUGGCGAACGGGUGAGUAACGCGUGGGAAACCUUCCCUUCGAUGGGGGAUAACAGUUCUAACGAGCUGCUAAUACCGCAUACGACCCUUGGAUCGCAUGGUCCGGGGGUGAAAGGGGGCGAUCUCUUCGGAGAGCUCCCGUCGAUGGAUGGUCCCGCGUCCCAUUAGCUAGUUGGCGGGGUAAUGGCCCACCAAGGCGACGAUGGGUAGCCGGCCUGAGAGGGUGUCCGGCCACACUGGGACUGAGAUACGGCCCAGACUCCUACGGGAGGCAGCAGUCGAGAAGCUUCGGCAAUGGGCGAAAGCCUGACCGAGCGACGCCGCGUGAGCGAAGAAGGCCCUAUGGGUUGUAAAGCUCUGUCAGAUUGGGAGAAAACCUCGCGGUUAAUACCCGCGAGGCCUGACGGUACCAUCAGAGGAAGCACCGGCUAACCCCGUGCCAGCAGCCGCGGU